UCUUUUUUCAGCAAAGCAACAAUUUACCAGUCACAUGCACGUUAACCUCCUCAGUUUUACGCAAUUGUAGAGAAAAAAAAAAAAGCAACAACAACAACGAAGCCAUGAAGUGUUAAAUAUUUCCAAUCCAGUCGCACCGACACUCGCCCGCAGAGAGACAGAGGAGCAGGAGAAAGGCGCGCGCGCUGCUCUCACGCGUCCGUGAGAAGCGAACCAAGCCCCAACCACAGGCUAUUAAUUUAUAAAAUAAAUCCUCUCGCCUCGCCGCAAAGCCGACAGCCUUUUUUCACGGUUCUGAAGAAUUAAAUAAAGAAAUCAAGCUGGCUCACGCCGUCUCGAACUCGACUAGUUUGACAGCUGCUCUUUACCCCCUUUGGAGGACUGUCAACAGCAAAAGGAUGGCAUCAGAACUGGCAAUGAGCAACUCCGACCUGCCCACCAGUCCCCUGGCCAUGGAAUAUGUUAAUGACUUCGAUCUGAUGAAGUUUGAAGUGAAAAAGGAGCCGGUGGAGCCCGACCGCAGCAUCAGCCAGUGCAGCCGCCCAGUCGCCGGCGGAUCCGUAUCUUCCACCCCGAUGAGCACGCCUUGCAGCUCGGUUCCUCCUUCGCCAAGCUUCUCGGCGCCCAGUCCGGGCUCGGGGAGCGAGCAGAAGGCGCACCUGGAGGACUUCUACUGGAUGAGCGGCUACCAGCAGCAGCUGAACCCAGAGGCGCUGGGCUUCAGCCCAGAGGAUGCGGUGGAGGCACUGAUCAGCAGCGGCCACCAGCUCCCCAGCUUCGACGGCUACACCCGGGGCCAGCAGUUCGGCAGCGCGUCGGGCGCAGGAGGCACCGUGGCCGGGGAGGAGAUGGGUUCGGCGGCCGCCGUGGUCUCGGCUGUGAUCGCGGCGGCGGCGGCGCAGAACGGCAACCCGCACCAUCACCACCAUCACCAUCACCACCACCACCACCCCACGGGGCACCACGGAGCGCCCGGAGCGCCCGCCAACGGCAACGCGGCCGGGGGCCACCAGCACACGCGCCUCGACGAGCGCUUCUCCGACGAGCAGCUCGUCACCAUGUCCGUCCGGGAGCUCAACCGGCAGCUCCGCGGCGUCAGCAAGGAAGAAGUGAUCCGGCUCAAGCAGAAGCGGCGGACGCUGAAGAACCGCGGCUACGCGCAGUCCUGCCGCUUCAAGCGCGUGCAGCAGCGCCACGUGCUCGAGGGCGAGAAGACGCAGCUCAUGCAGCAAGUGGAGCAUCUCAAGCAGGAGAUCUCCCGGCUGAUGCGCGAGAGGGACGCGUACAAGGAGAAAUACGAGAAGCUCAUCGGCAACGGCUUCCGAGAAAACGGCUCGAGCAGCGACAACAACCCUUCCUCUCCGGAGUUUUUCAUGUCUUCAAGAAAAUUUCUGCACCUGUGAUGUGAAAUGUGAGUCGUAAUCUUCACCCCUGCAGUCUGAGCUCGGUGUGCAGAAGGAGCUCCAGCGCAGUGUUAGGGCACACCAGUGGCUGCCUGAGGUCCCACAACACUGGAAUGCUUCUAGCUCAGACUGACCCAUGGCACCAAAACUGCCCCAAAGCACAAUAGUCAACCUGCAAAGAAAGGAAAAAGAAGAGGGAGAAAAGCGGAGAGGGAAAAAAUAUCUGGUGCCAUUCUUCAGUCUUUGCCAGCUUCUCUUUUUCUGCUGAUUUUUCUUUCUUCUAAAGUUGAUUAUCAGCAAAUCAAGACCACCUUUUACAGGGAAAAUGCUUCCAAAACACUCGCAAAACUAAAAGGACAAGAAAAAGGAUCUGAAGAGGAAAGUUUCCACCUCAAAUUUCUUAAGACUACAAGACUCUUCCCUUCAGCCAGCACUGGCCCUCCUGUUGUCCUCAAAGAUGCUGCUUCAUUGUAAUUAGCAUUAAUGUAGAAUUUUGUACAAGUUCACUGUAGACUGGAUCUGGAGUCUUUGGGCAGAUGGAGUCACGCAGCAGAAGAAUAUUCCGCAACAUUACACACAUUAGAACAGCAUUCUAUGUAAAUUAUGUACAGCGUAUCUACAUGAACCAGUUCUUUCAGUGGUUGGAUAUGUAAAUAGACAGCAUACGUAUGCUUCCUCUACAUCGUCUCUGCACCUUGAGUACAGCAUUUACUCACUCAUUCAUGUUGAUUUGGACAUAUGGAUGGGCAAUAAUGAAUUUUCAAUCCUGAUAUUUUAGAGAAAUUUUUGUGUUGAGUGCUCGAAAGAGGAUCCACUUUAAUACAUGAUUUUUCACCACCCCUAGCUAGAACAACGUUGUGUUAGUCGUUGAUUAGAGAACAGUGUACAGUGUUCUAGAGGUAGCUCGAACCACCUUGCAGGAAAAAGAUGAGAAAGCCGUGUGGCCUGGGAUUUACAAAAGACAAACAGUACAAAUCUCUCUCUCUCUCUCUCUAUCCAUCAGUCUAGUCGACUGAAUUCUCGUUCUCUACCUACUAUACCUUUUCUUUUUUGCUCUUUAUUAUCUCAGUCCUCAUGCAUGGUGAUGAAGCAAGCAGUUGUGGUGAUGGUUGAGCAGGUAAGCCAUGCUGGGCGAAGGGAUUAUAGCGUCACAGUGCCUGAGGGCCGCAGGAUCGCUCCUGCACCAGCCUCUCGCUGAGCUCCCACAGGCUGAGGGCACUCGACAGGUCCUGGGCCUCACUUGACGGCACACAGCGGAAACAGUUGUUGAAGUACAUCCCACCCAGGCCUUCCAGCUCUGGAGCCACUGCACAGUACACCGUAGUGGCUGCACCCUGUUGCUGUAAAAAACACACAAAAACAGAAAUCAUGAUGUCAAAAAAAAGAGCAUGAGCAAGGAGAUUUCCAAGGGGUGAUAUAGCCAAGACAUUGGUAUGAUCAUGUACAACCCCGACAGAAGAUUCUAGAGUGACUAACGGCAAAGACGACGAUUUGAGGCCUGUCAGAAAAGAUCAGAGGGAAGUUCAUUUAGACAGGCGGCUCGCCACAGCCUCAGUGACCUGACUGACGACGGAAGUGAUGAAGGCUGUGUGUACAUACAGACUUUCUGAAUUCACUGUACACAGGAUAAAUGGCGUAAAGACACUGCAUGCUGUCAUGUAAACGACUCAAUUCCUAGUCCUGAAACUGAGCCAAUAAAUGGAUAUAAAUGAUGGCGGAAUGCAAUCGUCAUGUCCUGACAAAACACUGCACGCUGCGUCUUUUCUUAUUCAUUUCAGGGAGGAAAUGCUGGGAUUAAGGAACUUUUGGCUGGCUUUAUAUCUCUUUGCAGAAGAAACAUGAAACAUAGUAUAUGUGUAUGCACUAUACAUAGGAGGCUUUGCUCUUUGGUUAAUGCCUUGUACAGAGAACACAAGCAGGCUGCAAAAAACUGUCCAUCCAUCUGAUGUCAAAUGGGUUUUGUCAGAGUCAAAUGAACACUGCUUCUCACAGCUGGAGGAGACAUCUGUAAACACACGCACAUGUGCGCACACUCAGAUUCAACAAUAACAGGGUGAAGAUCACUCUGAAGACGUAACAAAUCGGUUCAAUGGGGUGGCACACACUUGUCAGAAAUGUUCUCAUCUGUCCAGCACUCGAGUCCUUUUGCACUGGGGUGGUUUCACGGCCAUGUUGCCAAGGCAAAAUAAUCUCUCAUGUGUCUCCUGGCUUUCGUAUUACUGCUGCGUGCUUUCAGUCAGUCAGUUCGAUUAGCAUGAUGAAACGCGUGUUAGGAUUACUCCACUGCAACAUUUAUACCAAAAAAACCCCAACUAUCCAGUAGUCUAUCUCGACCAGAGGCACAGCUUUACUUCUGCAUGACUUAGUACCAUAGGUUUAAACUUUUUUUUUUUUUUGAGGUGACAAAGAUGGAGGGACGAGAAGAAAAACAUGUCAGAUAGAAUUAGAGCACAGUUGUGUUUCAUGCCCCUCCUUCAUGGAAGAAAGCUGUCGCCGUUACUUUGCAUGAAACUCUGCAGGAAACUUGAAAUGAGCCUGUUCUUUAUCUUCUAACAGCACUGGCGUUGUGCACCUCUGAAAAGCCAAGACCAAUGUUUGGGAGCAAUCGGCUGGCAAGCAUUGAGAGAAACUCACACUCCUGGCUCCCAGCACAUGUGCACGCACACACACACACACACACACACACAAAGACUCAGCCUUGUUUAAGCAGACGAAGCCACAGCUGUAGCCCAAGCUGGUGAAGUCUGUAACAGCAUGCUGGUUAGGUGCGUACACAUACGUGUGUCCACACACACACACACACACACACACAGUGGGAAGAAAGUCAAGGCUGUAUCCAGAAAUUCUGUGAGGAAUUUUAUUUCCCUUCUCUUGAGCUAAAUGUGUGUGUGUGUGCGCGCGUGUGUGUGUGUGUGCACCUUUUGAAGUAUGCAGAUGUGGCUCAUUCCUUUGGUUAGCGAGUCAAUAAACAUGACAUCAAAAGGAUGCAUCUCUCCGAGUCUUACCUGCUUUUGGAAUGAUAAGUUAAUACACAUUUGAAGGCAGAAAUAUAAAAGGAUAUAAAAUGUCACUCAAUCUUUGCUAGCCCGUGCAGCCAUACUGUUCAACAUGCAGACUCGGACCAGACAGUAUUUACUCAUCUGGUAAUUACAUUUCUCGGGUGAUAUGCUGAAAGCUCUACAACUCUUUCAACGCAAGUUUUAAACAUCGGGGGGGAAAAGGAAAUGAAGAAAAUGCUGUAGACCUGAAAGUUAGCAAAACUGGCAUCAUUUGGCACAAUAUUCACUUCAACUGAAACAACAACUUGGAUUCA